AACGUAGGUGGCGAGCGUUAUCCGGAUUUACUGGGCGUAAAGGGCGCGUAGGCGGGCUGUCAAGUCUGGGGUGAAAUCCCGCGGCUCAACCGUGGAACUGCCUCAGAUACUGACGGCCUCGAGGGAGGUAGGGGCGAGCGGAACUGUGAGUGGAGCGGUGAAAUGCGUUGAUAUUCACAGGAACUCCGGUGGCGAAGGCGGCUCGCUGGACCUCUUCUGACGCUGAGGCGCGAAAGCCAGGGGAGCAAACGGG
rnacentral:rRNA from 1 species